rnacentral:rRNA from 1 species
AACGGCUGGCGGCGUGCCUAAUACAUGCAAGUCGAACGGUCUUUCUAUGGAAGCUUGCUUCCACUGAGAAGAUAGUGGCGAACGGGUGAGUAACACGUGGGUAACCUGCCCAUAAGAGGGGGAUAACAUCCGGAAACGGGUGCUAAUACCGCAUAGUUUUCUUGAUCGCAUGAUCGGGAAAGGAAAGACGGCCUUUGUGCUGUCGCUUAUGGAUGGACCCGCGGCGUAUUAGUUAGUUGGUGAGGUAACGGCUCACCAAGACGAUGAUACGUAGCCGACCUGAGAGGGUGAUCGGCCACAUUGGGACUGAGACACGGCCCAAACUCCUACGGGAGGCAGCAGUAGGGAAUCUUCCGCAAUGGACGAAAGUCUGACGGAGCAACGCCGCGUGAGUGAAAGAAGGUUUUCGGAUCGUAAAACUCUGUUGUCAGAGAAGAACAAGUUGGAGAGUAACUGCUCCAGCCUUGACGGUAUCUGACCAGAAAGCCACGGCUAACUACGUGCCAGCCGCCGC